UACGUAGGGGGCAAGCGUUGUUCGGAAUUACUGGGCGUAAAGGGCUCGUAGGCGGCCAACUAAGUCACACGUGAAAUCCCCAGGCUUAACCUGGGAACUGCGUGUGAUACUGGAUGGCUUGAAUUCGGGAGAGGGAUGCAGAAUUCCAGGUGUAGCGGUGAAAUGCGUAGAUAUCUGGAGGAAUACCGGUGGCGAAGGCGGCAUCCUGGACCGACAUUGACGCUGAGGAGCGAAAGCUAGGGGAGCAAACGGGG
rnacentral:rRNA from 1 species